AGAAUUGGCUGUAAACGUGUAUUUGGGUGAGAUCUGAAAUAUUCAUUGACCUGGUGGGUGAUGUGUCCGAUCUCUUGAGACUGGUAGACCUUCAUAUAUGAUGAACAAGAUUUUCAGUAAUCCUCACCAUAUUUGCCUUGGCUGUCUGGGUGGGAGCCUGUGAUGGGGUGCACUUGCCCCACACUGGAGAGGAAGGGGUUAAGCCUGCACUCUUGGCAGUGGAAGCCACGCCCCCUCGCCCCGCUCCACUGCAGUAUAAAAGGGAGCAGCUCAGCUCAGUCUGGGCUGACCGCCGAGGGGGAAGGACGCACUGCGCCAGCUCCAGCCUGGGAGCAGCCAGAACCCCAGACUGUGGGAGCAGGAGACGCCAGGACCCGGACAGGUACCUGCGGACGCCCCAGGGAGAUUGCAGUGUCUGGGAGCAGCGCCGCCCAAGGGGUCUGGAGGCUCCAAGGAUGCCUAGUCUUCAACUGCAGGAGUCACGAAUCCUACAACUUAACCCUAUUUAGCAAACAAUGCUAAGGAAAUAUGGAAAGGUAGAAGCAUCCAGCUCUGGAGUAUUCAAAGGAGCGAAUUCUUGUUAGUUGUGCAGGUUGAUGCAGACACCCGAUGAAUGGCAAAGGAUGAAACUGAAACUGAAAAAUCCUCCCUUGAGAGAAUCACAUCUGAAAAAGAGCUCUGCAAGGUUCUCUUUCACCCUGAUCCCAGUAAAAUAAACUAACUCACCCACCUCGUCUCGCUGAAUCAGGCGUAUUUCUGGUACGCAACCGCCAUCUCCUGGCCAUUGUCUGGAGCACCAGAGAAACCAGAGAGCACCUAAGUGACAAGCGUUGGAUAGAAAGCAGAAGGCACCACUGUCCAUCGGGGUAUAACAACCCUGAAGUCUUUGAGGAGAACCUCAGAAGCUGCUGAGCUCAGAGUUGCGACCAGAUCCCUGUGGCGCUUUGGACCAGCUUCUUCCAUCCAGCCCAGGGUUACCAGGAAUAUGAAGCCAUGAGACUUCCUUUCAGAGGUUGCAUUUCUCCUUGUUUUAGAUCAACUAUUUGAAAGCUGCCUUGCCAGAGCUUCGCUUGCUCCACAGUGAGAUCCCACAGGAUUUCCACAGCUUCGUAGCGUUUCCGGCUGGUAGAUCAUCUACUCUGACCUCCUGCAUAAUACAGGCCGCUAAAUUUUACCUCCCGACACCCCUGUAUUGAGCUCAAGAACUUGUGGUUGACAAAUGUGUAUCCUUCAGAAAGGCAACCGAUCCGGAUUAGAAGACAUCAGUUCCCUUGAUGUUAAAUAUUUGUGCCUUGUUUCUCCUUGGCAUUUGUCUGGCUUUAACCUCUCAGCCAUUUGGUUCUUAAUCGGCCUCUCUUCACGAGAUUAAAGGAGCUUUUUGUACCAGGUAUUUUCUCCGCAUGAAGGUUACCUGUACGUUAAUCAAGUUGCCUCUUGAUUUUUCCUUUUGUGCUCAAUUAAACGGCGUGAGCUCCUCCGGUCUCUCAUGGCAAGGCAUUUUCUCCACCCCUUCUGUAAGCUGGCGGUGGGUUAUAGAGAUAAGAUAGAGGUAGCUAUCAGGCUGUUAUGUAAUGUCACAUAAGGCCUGAAUCACGAUCAACUUAGCAUAACCGAGGCCUGAGGAACCGAACACACCAGGUGUUCCAGGAAACCGAGGGUACGUGAUGGGAGAAGGCGAAGAGAGGAACGAAUCUCUUUGGGAUUUCAGGGAAAGUUGCCAGGCUGUUGAGCGUAAUGGAAACCUACGUGUGCUAACCACAGCUGCACCAUGGCAGCUAAUUAACCCAAAUGCUAAUGAGCAGGAGGUAGAUGGUCAAUUAACAUAUGGAAGUUAGGCACCGCAUCUUAGUGUGGAAGUAUGACUAAGGCAAAAAGUGGGAAACCAGCACUGACUACUUAUAAGGUAGGGUGGGCGAAAGCCCGUCUAAAAGUUACGAGCCAGAUCCAGUGUGGGUGGCUUUGAGAAGGUCUCAGAUGGAGUCAAAGCUGUUAAGGGAUUCACACAGCCCUAUGACCAAGGGGCUGGGUUUGGCCAGCUUGUGGGGAGACAGUGGUGUUGGAACAGGUUCAGAGGACAGAUUUGGUUACUGGUGUGUCAAAGCAGAACAGUUUUAUGGCUGAACGCUUGAGGAUGCAGGGGAGAGCGAGCGAACUCUCACCCUCAGACCCUCUGGAUUUGUGUGGUGUCUCUG